rnacentral:rRNA from 1 species
GAUGAACGCUGGCGGCGCGCCUAACACAUGCAAGUCGAACGAUUAAAGCACCUUCGGGUGUGUAUAAAGUGGCGAACGGCUGAGUAACACGUGGGCAACCUGCCCCUCUCAUUGGGAUAGCCACGGGAAACCGUGGAUAAUACCGAAUACUUCGGGACUUCCGCAUGGAAGACUCGAGAAAGCUCCGGCGGAGAGGGAUGGGCCCGCGGCCUGUUAGCUUGUUGGUGGGGUAAUGGCCUACCAAGGCAAUGAUGGGUAGCUGGGUUGAGAGACCGACCAGCCAGAUUGGGACUGAGACACGGCCCAGACUCCUACGGGAGGCAGCAGUGUGGAAUCUUGCACAAUGGGCGAAAGCCUGAUGCAGCGACGCCGCGUGCGGGAUGAAGGCCUUCGGGUUGUAAACCGCUUUCAGCAGGGACGAGGCGAAAGUGACGGUACCUGCAGAAGAAGCCCCGGCUAACUACGUG